GAUGAAGAACGUAGCAAAAUGCGAUACUUGGUGUGAAUUGCAGAAUCCCGUGAACCAUCGAGUUUUUGAACGCAAGUUGCGCCCGAAGCCUUUUGGCCGAGGGCACGUCUGCCUGGGCGUCACGCAUCGCGUCGCCCCCCACAAAUUCUCCGUCAGGGGAGCUUGUGUUUCGGGGGCGGAUACUGGUCUCCCGUGCUCAUGGCGCGGUUGGCCGAAAUAGGAGUCCCUUCGAUGGACGCACGAACUAGUGGUGGUCGUAAAAACCCUCGUCUUUUGUUUCGUGCCGUUAGUCGCGAGGGAAGCUCUUCAAAAACCCCAACGCGUCGUCUCUUGACGGCGCUUCGACCGCGACCCAGGUCAGGCGGGACUACCCGCUGAGUUUAAGCAUAUCAAUAAGCGGAGGA
rnacentral:misc_RNA from 1 species